UCUACUCGUGCUUUGUAUUCAGUGUGCAAUAGUAUUCAGAAUCUUAGACUAUUAUUCCGAUUCAUACUAUUAUGCAGGUCAUAAAUUAUAAAUGCACCAUCAACUAGGUGCAAGGUACGUUUAUGUAGGUCUGUGAUGCCUGAAGUCAGGUUCUCUUCAUGAACACAAGGUUCCCUGGAUCGUGGCACGGUGCUCCUUAAUGGACAGCCUGCAAUCUGCAUCAAGCAGCUGCCACUAUAUUCGAAGAUGGAGAUUGACCUGUAGGUAAUAACGGCUACCCGCUCCAGCCCUGGCUCAUGGCACCUGUCCGUUCGCACUCAACACGUUAAGAACAAAGCUACAACACUGCACACAGCAGGACCCAUGUGUGCAUUGAGCACUACUUUGGGGUACUGAAGACGCGAUUCCGGUGCCUACAGAGGUACCGCACACUGCACUUCGCUGCUGACCAGUGUUGCAAGAUAAUCAAUGCCUCUGCUGUCCUCCAUAACAUGGCUUUGUGUACAACACUCUUGAGCCUCUGGAUGAUGCUGGUGAGGGUGAUGAGCCAAGGGAGGAACAGGUGGAAGGCGGUGCCACCGGAGAGACUGAGGAGGAGAGAAUAGAAGACGUUAAACCUGACCCUUUGUUUGUGAGAAACUGUGCAUCACAACUGAGAAGCCAACUUAUCAGACAGUGUUUCAGACGUACAGAACAGAUGACUCACCUCAGACGUUCACAGGAGAGAGCAGCUGUAAACAAUAUACAGUGUUACUAUGCAGAAACCUUGUUAAUUUUUCAUCCUUCCACUAUAGGGGCAUUGUAAAAGUACAUCUGAGCCUUGUUAAUAUGGAUAUCCCGAAUUAUGGAAGACGUUACUGAGGUUUAAACAUUUUUAGUGCAUUGAUAACUCCUUAACUUGCUGUUCCAACA